rnacentral:lncRNA from 1 species
GAUGACACUAGAUGACGGUAGAUGACACUAGAUGACGGUAGAUGACGGUAGAUUACACUAGAUGACGGUAGAUGACGAUAGAUGACACUAGAUGACGGUAGAUGACACUAGAUGACGGUAGAUGACAGUAGAUGACAGUAGAUGACAGUAGAUGACAGUAUAUGACUGUAAAUCACACUAGAUGACGGCAGAUGACACUAGAUGACGGUAGACGACGGUAGUUGACAGCAGAUGACAGUAGAUGACAGUAGAUGACAGUAGAUGACAGUAGAUGACGGUAGAUGACAGUAGAUGACACUAGAUGACACUAGAUGACGGUAGAUGACACUAGAUGACGGUGGAUUACACUAGAUGACGGUAGAUGACACUAGAUGACGGUAGAUGACGGUAUAUGACACUAGAUGACGGUAGAUGACACUAGAUGACACUAGAUGACAGUGGAUGACGGUAGAUGACAGCAGAUGACAGUAGAUGACACUAGAUGAC